rnacentral:lncRNA from 1 species
CUGAGUUUUGAGUGAUAGUGCCUAUCCUGGUUAUUGGUGUUUCUUACCACAGCAGUAACCAGGGGAUUUUUACAGGUGUCCUGUCAAGAAAUGACCGUCUUACCUGACAGUGGUAUUGAUCUUGCAUUAUUACAAGUAUCCAGGUUUCUGUAGUGAGACCCUGAUAAACCUAACAAUGGUUGGUAUGGCAGACAUUUCUGGUAUGCAGGCAAGUGAUGAUGUGUUCUUUAACCACAUCAUAGACCAUCAG